UUAUAAUUAAGAAAAAUUUAAAAAGAAAUUAAAUGAAAUCAUUAAAAUUAAAUAUUUUGGCGGUAUUUUAAAUAGUUAGAGGAAUUUGUUAAUUAAAUGAUAAUCCACGAGUGGAAGGUCCUAAUGAAGUUUUUAUGUAUUGUUGUAUAAAAAUUAUUUUAUAAGAAUUAUAAUUAAAAUAUUUAAUUUAAUUAUAAUUCAAAUCAAAAUGUAAAAUUAUUAGGAAUAAAUGAGUUACAAUUUAAUAUAAUAUUAGAAUUAUGAUUUUUAAUAAUAUAAUGAAAGAGGAUUUAAAAGUAAAUUUAAAAAAAUUUUUAAAUUGAAAAUUUAAUUAAAAUAUG
rnacentral:rRNA from 1 species